rnacentral:rRNA from 1 species
UACGUAGGGUGCGAGCGUUAUUCGGAAUUACUGGGCGUAAAGCGUGCGCAGGCGGUUUUGUAAGCCAGAUGUGAAAUCCCCGGGCUUAACCUGGGAAUGGCAUUUGGGACUGCAAGGCUAGAGUGUGGCAGAGGAGACUGGAAUUCCUGGUGUAGCGGUGAAAUGCGUAGAUAUCAGGAGGAAUACCGAUGGCGAAGGCAGGUCUCUGGGCUAACACUGACGCUCAUGCACGAAAGCGUGGGGAGCAAACAGG